AAAUAUAUAAUAUAUAUAUAUAUAUAUAUAUAUAUAUAUAUAUAUAUCCCUACUUAAUGACCUAACCCUAAACCCUAACUCUAGCUUUGUAUAUAAAUAGAGGCAUUUAGUCCUCACAAUAGAUCACUCCUACAGAUUUAUUUACUCUACGCUCUCUACGCUAUUCUCUUCUCUUCUACUUUUCUCUCUACUUUCAACACGUUAUCAGCACGAUUGUUCUACAAGAUUGUUCGCAAUUGUUCUACAAGAUUGUUCGUGAUUGUUCUACAAGAUUGUGCCUACCCUCAUUCUUGAUUGUUUGCCCUAGGAAAGAAUCUUGUCUUUCCUGCAAGUGUUGCACAAAAUGUCAAAUAUCACCAAACUUGAGUUUGUUGCACUUGACAUAUCUGGCAAGAAUUACAUGCCAUGGAUUCUUGAUGCCGAGGUUCAUUUGGUUGCAAGAUCUCUAGGAGAGACAAUCAAAGAAGGAAAUGACGCAUCCCAGCAGGAUCGCGCUAAGGCACUCAUUUUCCUUCGUCAUCAUCUUCAUGAUGAUUUGAAAGUUGAAUAUCUUACCAUCAAAGACCCAUGUGAAUUGUGGAAAAACCUCAAAGAACGGUUUGAUCAUCAAAGGACUGUUGUUCUUCCUAAGGCUCGUUUUGAGUGGAUGCAUUUAAGAAUGCAAGAUUUCAAAAGUGUGAGUGCUUAUAAUUCGGAAUUGUUUCGAAUUACUUCUAAAUUGAAACUAUGUGGUGAAACAAUCACCGAUGAAGAUAUGCUUGAGAAAAAUUCUCAACUUUUCAUGCUUCAAAUGUGCUCUUACAACAACAAUAUAGAGAGCGAGGUUUCAAAAA